UAACACUUUUAGUAGCACAAUACGGCAACGUAAAUGAGAUCAUUCAUAUACGUAUUAACCCACCCACCCAUCAUAUAAUUCUUGUGUCUGACUGAUGUCACCCCAAAACUUCUCGAGGUACUAAGUAACAAGGAGAGAAGAGGAGAGAGGAGUGUAGGAUUUGAGAAUCGCAGUAUGCAGUAUUACAACAAAGCUGUGUCCACCAUACAAAUUAAGCUUGUUAGAGUCUGUAAAAACAAUGUCUUAAAGCAAAAUUCCUCAACUAGGUCGCAUGUUUCUUUAGACGAUCGUUGGAAAAUUGGGCCAACAAAGAAGAGCACGUAUAGUCACACAAGCUUCAAAAAAGUAGAAAACGGCGAAACAAAGCUUUAAUAUAAGUAAAUAGUAGCUAGAGAUGGAUGUAUUAAUGAAAUCCGUAGAAUGCAAAUUGUCCUAAGGAGAUGGAUGGAUGAUGGCUGGUGAGGAAACUUGCAAAAGUAAGUAUCUCGUGAGUGUUUAUAAACGGUUGAUGUCGAUUGGAAAUCUUAAAUAGCAACUGCUUAAAAGCCGAAAAAAUAUCUUUAUUUUCACCACUUGAGGUUUGAACGAAAGGGCUCUCUGUACAAGAGGAAAUAAAGAUGUUUUUUUACUGCUCGCUGACCCAAUUAAUUAUGUACACCAUUGUAUAUUCUCAGUAAUAGUUAAAAGAUAAAACCAAAAAAAAAAAAAAACUGGCUUGAGUGUUACAAAAGCAACAUACUCUAUGAUUGAGGAUUUCCGAGCC